rnacentral:rRNA from 1 species
UACGUAGGGGGCUAGCGUUGUCCGGAAUUAUUGGGCGUAAAGAGCUCGUAGGCGGUCUGUCACGUCGGCUGUGAAAACCUGGGGCUCAACCCCGGGCCUGCAGCCGAUACGGGCAGACUAGAAUUCGGUAGGGGAGACUGGAAUUCCUGGUGUAGCGGUGAAAUGCGCAGAUAUCAGGAGGAACACCGGUGGCGAAGGCGGGUCUCUGGGCCGAUAUUGACGCUGAGGAGCGAAAGCGUGGGGAGCGAACAGG